rnacentral:tRNA from 3 species
GCGGGCGUGGCGGAAUGGUAGACGCAUGAGACUUAAAAUCUCUGGGGCAAUGGCCCGUGCCGGUUCAAGUCCGGCCGCCCGCACCA